rnacentral:tRNA from 1 species
GUAGAUAUAGUUUAAAAAAACAUUAGACUGUGAACCUAAAGAUAGAAGAACAAUCUUCUUAUCUACC